UGCCAGCUCUCUCGUACUUAUUCGCAGAUCAAUUGGUCAGGUCGGGAACGAAGCAGCCAAAUUUGUGUAAUGAGGUACCGGGAUGUAGUUGGUGCCC
rnacentral:SRP_RNA from 1 species